GCCUACGACCAUAUCACCCUGAAUGCGCCCGAUCUCGUCUGAUCUCGGAAGCUAAGCAUGGUCGAGCCUGGUUAGUACUUGGAUUGGAGACUGCCUGGGAAUACCAGGUGUUGUAGUCU
rnacentral:rRNA from 1 species